UACGAAGGGGGCUAGCGUUGUUCGGAAUUACUGGGCGUAAAGGGCGCGUAGGCGGCGUGUCAAGUCAGGCGUGAAAGCCCCGGGCUCAACCUGGGAACCGCGCUUGAGACUGGCAUGCUCGAGUUCGGGAGAGGAUGGUGGAAUUCCCAGUGUAGAGGUGAAAUGCGUAGAUAUCGAGAGGAACACCUGCGGCGAAGGCGGGUUGCUGGGCCGACACUGACGCUGAUGCGCGAAAGCCAGGGGAGCGAACGGG
rnacentral:rRNA from 1 species